rfam:Gossypium hirsutum cultivar TM-1 chromosome 16, whole genome shotgun sequence
AUGUCGUUAUGAGGGCACUUUUAUAAUAACUCCUUGAAUCGCUCCCAUGCCUUAUAUAAAGAUUCUUCAUCCAGUUGCUUCAGUAAAGUGAUUUCAUUUUGGAUCUU